AGUGAACGCUGGCGGUAGGCCUAACACAUGCAAGUCGAACGGCAGCACAGUAAGAGCUUGCUCUUACGGGUGGCGAGUGGCGGACGGGUGAGGAAUACAUCGGAAUCUACUUUUUCGUGGGGGAUAACGUAGGGAAACUUACGCUAAUACCGCAUACGACCUACGGGUGAAAGCAGGGGAUCUUCGGACCUUGCGCGAUUGAAUGAGCCGAUGUCGGAUUAGCUAGUUGGCGGGGUAAAGGCCCACCAAGGCGACGAUCCGUAGCUGGUCUGAGAGGAUGACAGCCCCCACUGGACUGGAGCCCCGUCCCAGACCCUUACGGAAGCAGGCGUUGGGAAUUUUGGAACAAGGGGCGAAACCUGGUCCAGCCAUACCGCGUGGGUGAAGAAGGCUUUCGGGUUGUAAAGCCCUUUUGUUGGGAAAGAAAAGCAGCAGGUUAAUACCCCGCUGUUCUGACGGUACCCAAAGAAUAAGCACCGGCUAACUUCGUG
rnacentral:rRNA from 1 species